CCCUUAGAUGUUCUGGGCUGCACGCGCGCUACACUGAUUCGAUCAACAAGUUUUUCCUAUGUCGAUAGACACGGGUAAUCUUUUGAACUCGCAUCGUGAUGGGGAUAGAUUAUUGUAAUUAUUAAUCUUCAACGAGGAAUUCCUAGUAGGUGCAAAUCAUCAGUUUGCAUCGAUUACGUCCCUGCCCUUUGUACACACCGCCCGUCGCUGCUACCGAUUGGUUGAUCUGGUGAAUUAUUCGGACUGCCGGCUGAAGGGGUUUCCUCAUCUGCCAGCGGAAAGUCUUGUUAACCCUAUCAACUAGAGGAAGCAGAAGUCGUAACA
rnacentral:rRNA from 1 species